AGCGAACGCUGGCGGCAGGCCUAACACAUGCAAGUCGAACGGACCCUUCGGGGUUAGUGGCGGACGGGUGAGUAACACGUGGGAACGUGCCUUUAGGUUCGGAAUAGCUCCUGGAAACGGGUGGUAAUGCCGAAUGUGCCCUUCGGGGGAAAGAUUUAUCGCCUUUAGAGCGGCCCGCGUCUGAUUAGCUUGUUGGUGGGGUAAUGGCCCACCAAGGCUACGAUCAGUAGCUGGUCUGAGAGGAUGACCAGCCACAUUGGGACUGAGACACGGCCCAAACUCCUACGGGAGGCAGCAGUGGGGAAUCUUGCGCAAUGGGCGAAAGCCUGACGCAGCCAUGCCGCGUGUAUGAUGAAGGUCUUAGGAUUGUAAAAUACUUUCACCGGUGAAGAUAAUGACUGUAGCCGGAGAAGAAGCCCCGGCUAACUUCGUGCCAGCAGCCGCGGUAAUACGAAGGGGGCUAGCGUUGCUCGGAAUUACUGGGCGUAAAGGGAGCGUAGGCGGACAUUUAAGUC
rnacentral:rRNA from 1 species